rnacentral:lncRNA from 1 species
UGAUGCUCUUUCAUUCAUCUCAGUUCAGACUGGACACCAUCUUCAGAGUGAGGAAUGAAACUGCAGUGACUCCAAACUCAGAUGAUCUGAAUGAAGUGACUCUCCAUCGUUCAGGAUCUUCAGGUGAGUCGAAGCUGAUCUCUCCUAACAUGAUUCUUCUUACAUUUUAUACUAGUUCACAAAGUCAUCACUCACAAUUUCAUUAAUUAAUAUUAUAAAAUAUAAUAUAAUAUAAUGUAUUGAAUAUAAAAUAAUCAGAUUGUGUUUUCAGGUGUUUUCAGAGGGUAUAGCAGUCCAUCGGUCAGCGUGAAGCUCCAGACAACAGGUGAGUGAAUCAAACUGAUAAAUGAACUGAUUCACUGAAUCACAUGAUGAUUUAAAAGCUGAAUCAGACAAAUGAUGUGUGUGUUUCUCACAGGGAUCUGGGAACGGUCUGAUCUGAUGAUCCUCAUUGCAGAUAUGUUCACUGAAUAUAAACCUAAAAGAGCACUCAGAUCACUAGGAUGGAGUCAGUUAGAAAUACCAAGGGUUCACACAAAACGAGCUGAUGUUUAACCUCAGUGAGAAGGAUGUAGCUGCUGGAGGAAGACUCCGCCCCUUACACCCCGGACCGAAGAAGACUCCGCCCCUUACCUGGACCCUUCCUUCCUGAACACUGCCCCACUACGAACACCAGAAGGACAUCAGAUCCCCUGUUAAAUUUGGACACUUAUACCCUUUAGAUACUUUAUUCUCUGUGUUUUGUUUUUUUUCUAUUAAUAAAAGCCUCUUUUUCCAUGUCUCAGAGGCCUGACACUACCCCCACUGUGUCUGUCGUUUACUCCUCCUGCCACUAUAUAUAUAUAUAUAUAUAUAUAUAUAUAUAUAUUCUUUAACAAUUAUUUCCUUUAACAUUAAAUGUUUAGUACCGUGUGCUGGAAUGAGAGAGAGGAUACAGGGCAGGUUAUUUGAAAAACUGUGAUUGAUGAGGGUCAUAAAAGACAUCUGUUUUCACACCUGUUUUAAUCAUAGACAGUAAAAGAAAUGGAGACAGUGAUUCAACGGAGACAAGUGAAGUCAAUUAGAAGCAGCACUUCCUGGGGGUCGAGCGUACUGAGCUUGAUGACGUAGAUGUCACGUGAGCAACCUGUACGUCUUCUAAUCGCUGUGCGAAGAGGAAUCUGAAUCACCCUCCGAAUCUUGCAGAGAAGGGGCGCGUGAACAGGAGCAAAUGUU